rnacentral:rRNA from 1 species
UACGUAGGGUGCAAGCGUUGUCCGGAAUUAUUGGGCGUAAAGAGCUCGUAGGCGGUCUGUCGCGUCUGCUGUGAAAAUCAGGGCUCAACCCUGGACCUGCAGUGGGUACGGGCAGACUAGAGUGCGGUAGGGGAGACUGGAAUUCCUGGUGUAGCGGUGAAAUGCGCAGAUAUCAGGAGGAACACCGGUGGCGAAAAGCAGCUCUCUGGAACG